rnacentral:rRNA from 1 species
UACAGAGGUCUCAAGCGUUGUUCGGAUUCAUUGGGCGUAAAGGGUGUGUAGGUGGCGCGCUAAGUCGGGUGUGAAAUCUCAGAGCUCAACUCUGAAAUGGCACUUGAUACUGCUCUGCUAGAGGACUGGAGAGGAGAUUGGAAUUCACGGUGUAGCAGUGAAAUGCGUAGAUAUCGUGAGGAAGACCGGUGGCGAAGGCGGAUCUCUGGACAGUUCCUGACGCUGAGGCGCGAAGGCCAGGGGAGCAAACGGG